AUACCCGAGUAGUCCUAGCUGUAAACACUGCGAGCUAGGUGUCGCAUAUUCUACGUGAAUGUGCGGUGUCGUAACGAAGGUGAUAAGCUCGCCGCCUGGGAAGUACGGUCGCAAGACUGAAACUUAAAGGAAUUGGCGGGGGAAUACACCAGGAGUGCGGCGUGCGGUUUAAUCUAACUCAACGCAGAACACCUCACUAGAAGCGACGGCAGGAUGAAGAUCAGUCUGAAGGGCUUAUCUGACGAGCCGAGAGGUAGUGCAUGGCCGCCGUCAGCUCGUGUCGUAAGAUGUCCAGUUAAGUCUGGCAACGAGCAAGACCUGUAUCUAUAAUUGCUAACGGGAUCUCAGGAUUGACUGAGCUCAUUAUAGAGACUGCCUUCGUAAGGAGGAGGAAGGUGCAGGCAACGGUAGGUCUGUAUGCUCCGAAUCUUCUAGGCUACACGCGCGCAACAGUGGUAAAGACAAUGGGAUGCAACUCCGAAAGGAGGAGCCAAGCCUCGAAACUUUAUCGUAGUUUAGAUUGUGGGUUGCAACUCACCCACAUGACAACGGAAUUCCUAGUAAUCAG
rnacentral:rRNA from 1 species